GGUGGUGAGAUUUGUGAUGGUCCUUGCUUUCUGUGGGAGUUUGUUCCACAGUCUGGGACUAGUUCCCAAGAAAACUGUGUUUCCUGGACAGAUGAGUUUUAUCCUUAUUGUAGAAAGUUCUCUUGUCCAAAGGAACAGAGUUGUUAACCACAAUCUUCAUUUCCAUUGUUUCUUUUAGAUAUCCUGGGCCCAGGCCAUGGAACACCUUGAAGAUAACGACCAAGACCUUGAACUUGAUUCAAAAUUCUAUAGCAAGCCAGUGUAGAGAGUGGAGGACAGGUCUUCUGUGUUUGCAGUAGCCUUUGUUACUGAGGAGACACACUGCAGUAUUCUGUACCAGUCGGAGUUUCCUAAGCACUGAAGCCUUCAUAGCCACGUAUAUUGCAUUGCUAUAGUCCAGACAAGAGGUGAUAAAGGUAUAACUGAGGCCAUAUUUUGUCAGGAUGGGCUAGCUAACAGGAGAUGGCAGAAAGUCUUACUUAUGGAUGCUGCUGGGUGACAGCUUAGUGUUAGCAAGGAAUCCAGGAGCACUCCUAAGCUAUGGACUGAAUUGACCUGUUGCGGGUGUGUACCUUCAACUGUGCCAUGGCUGCAAACUCUUCAGAAUGCUUUCCUAUGCCCACCAGCAUAUGCUCUGUCCUGCUCAGCUUCAACCAGUUCUUUAGACAUGAACUGAUCUCCUCCAAGCACUGGGUCAUCUUGGUAGUGGUGAGGUCAUACGUGGUGAAGGAUCUAGUAGCUGCAUGGAGAUGUUCAAUAGGACCAAGGAGAGAAUUGAUCCUUUUUGGACUCCAUGAGUGAUCAGUCUAGUGGCAGAGGUAGUUUCCCAUUGCUACUUGUUGGAUGCAUCCCUUCAGUAAGGACUCAAAGCACUCAGAAACCUACAAGCGUGUGAAACAAUUCAAUAUUUUAAAGAAAACUGCUUUAACAGAAUAAGACGAGAUGUUUUGAAAACAGGGUGUCUCUGUUCCCUUCACCUAAUGAAUACAAAGAGAGAGUCUUGUGCAUUGGUGGAAGGCAGCAUGAAAACAAAUAUUUGAAGGAAACAAACGUACAUUCCUCAGAGCAUUACAGAGGCAACAAACGAAGAUAAAAAGCUAGGAACCCCUGGAUAUUGAACCUGGCACUUGUUGCUGCCCAUUCCACCUGGCAGAAGGAUUACAGGUACACCUUAGAUUGGAUUUCACCUGGAGGAAAGGAAAGGUUGGAGAACAAGGAAUGACCUAUCACAGGAUGAUUAAAAAGGAUGGUGCCAUCAUGGCAACAACUGAUGAUGAAGUCAAAGAUCUUGCUCUAGAUAGACAGUAGUUGGAAAAAUGGGUUGCCUCAUGUGGCACAAGAGAUUCUAAAUAUCCCCUUUUUAACCUCUCUCACCACCCUCUGCUAUAUCAAUUUUUAUUUAACAUGAUAUUCCUGCUCCUUUUCAGAUUCCCUGAUAUGGGAAUUAGCACUUUUAAAAGUGACACAUGAUAUGUGCUGCUCCCACAUGAAUUAGCUUACACUCAGGAGACUUUUCUAAAUCCACCUCUGGCUGCUGAAGGGUUUCAUUAAAGCAGCAUAAGGCCUGAUUCAUUGCUGUGUUACUCCAGUGUUGCACCAGCAUAACUCCAUUGAGAUCUGGAAUAAUGCAAAAGUGAAUUAGUCACACAGUGCUUGGUGGACACUGGCUUUGUCUUCACUGGAGAUUUAACCUGUUGUGAGUCACAAGUUUUUUUAACAUGUUCCAUGUUCAGACAUCAACAUUCUUACUCAUGCACCCUUGCUCUGAGGCACAGGACAAACCACAAGUUAGCUUAUCUUGCGUUUUGCUAAGUUGAGAUGCCUGCAGUGAGAACACAUGGCCACAGCCAGUCACUAUUAUUAAUAGAUGGUGGUCCACCAAUCCCUUCUCGCAAGCCUCCAGGGCACCUGUUCCUGUGUCCUGUCUUACCCAUGAUCUGUCCCUACUGGAAAUUGCCAGCUUUCUUAUGGUUCUGCUCAGUAUUCUCAGAUCCAUGUUGCUUGCAAUACCUUCUCCAAUGUCUAAUGCAGGAGUGAGAAGAAUGCCCAGUCAGCAUGCAGCCACCAAGCCAGGGGCCAGUACCAAAGCUUUGGUUGAUCUUUGGGAAGAAGCAAACAAAACUCAUGACUUUGGGACUCAAAAGAAGAAUGCCCAGCAAUACAAUGGCAUACCUCAGAAGCUGCUGGAUGAUAAUGGAUCAACCAGACUGGAACAUAGUGUGUGGAAAAGAUAAAAGGACUCAAGGUGAGCUAUCAGCGGGCCAAGAAUAACAAUUCCACUUCUACCAUUACCCCGGUGAGCUGCCCAUUUACAAGAAGCUGGACUGUGUGCUGAGCAGUGGUGCAAGCACAGAUUCCCAUGUCAGCCUGGACUCAACAGUGGGGCUGGGAUAGGUGCAUAUUUGGAACUUGGGUGUCUGCA